UAACUGUCACGGCAGCAGCUCCACAACUGUGACACGAGCCCUUUGCUCAGCCUGUACCAACAAGAAGCCCCUGGCAAACCCAACUGCAGCAGCAAAGAACAGAAGUACCCCAAACCCACUAAAAUUCGAGGCUGCCUAUGAGAAAAUCAUCCCCACGUGCUUUUACGGUCAGGGGCUAACGCCGUCAGGCACAACACAAAAAUAAAUGUGUUUCUCAGAGUGACAAGACGAAAUUUUCAGCUGGUCAGCAACUGCUUCUCGCUGUGGAACCACGUGACUGCCCCAACACAUAAGAACAUUUUUAUCUGCCAGCCUGCAAUGAAGACCACGUAGUUAAUAGUUUGCAACCUCCUUUCCUCCAGAAGGUCUUCAGAGAUAGCAUUCCUGUAGCCCAGCUGGCAGCCUGCACACCACAAUGUCGUCUAGACCUGCUCCCAACAGUGGGAUGACACAGGAGGAAAAACGCUGAUGCCUGUUCUGGUGCGAAGGGAAGGAAGCACAGGCUGAGUGAAACUCGAGUUUC